UACGUAGGGGGCAAGCGUUGUCCGGAUUUAUUGGGCGUAAAGAGCGUGUAGGCGGCCUGAAAGGUCAGCUGUGAAAACUCGAGGCUCAACCUCGAGACGUCGGUUGAAACCAUCUGGCUAGAGUCCGGAAGAGGAGAGUGGAAUUCCCGGUGUAGCGGUGAAAUGCGCAGAUAUCGGGAAGAACACCCCGUGGCGAAGGCGGCUCUCUGGGACGGUACUGACGCUGAGACGCGAAAAGCGUGGGGGAGCGAACAGG
rnacentral:rRNA from 1 species